GAGAGAGAGAGAUUUUUUUAAACUAGAUCAAAAUCUACAAUUUUGUUGUUCAUCAGUGACUGUCUUUCACCCACCAUUAUUUUCCAUACUGAAAGCAGGAUGUAGACUUUUGUGGGUAAUGAGCAGAUAUAAAUACCUAUGAAUCAGAUAAAUUAUGCUGUAUUUCUUCAUUCCAGAGAAGCUGCUACAAUGAAGGAUGUAAGCAGAUGCUGUUGCCUUGGAGACUGCUCAUUCGAGUCUCGAUUGCACCAGGUGGAUGAUAUCUUUCUUCCUCAGGAGUAUGGAGAUGGUGGCUUUAUUCUCAAAAUGCACUUCUGAGAGAAGAGCUAUGUCCUUGCAACUCACUAUAUGGAAAACAUGGCUAUACUUCAGAAAAACCUCUGUUCUAUGUAGAAGUGAUUUAGAAUCCAAGAAUAUACUUACCUGGAAGAAAAAGAACCUAUUCAGUUGGAUCUUCUCCUGCUGUAGGAGAAAUUGCAUGGAACCCUGAUAAGAAAAGAUAUGACGGAUAACAGAUUUUACUGGACACCUUUUAGAAAUAGCCACGAAGGAGGUGCUUGCAAGGGUUGAGAUUCUUCAACAAGUGCA
rnacentral:lncRNA from 1 species